AGACCCGAAACCCGGUGAUCUAGCCAUGGGCAGGUUGAAGGUUGGGUAACACUAACUGGAGGACCGAACCGACUAAUGUUGAAAAAUUAGCGGAUGACCUGUGGCUGGGGGUGAAAGGCCAAUCAAACCGGGAGAUAGCUGGUUCUCCCCGAAAGCUAUUUAGGUAGCGCCUCGUGAAUUCAUCUCCGGGGGUAGAGCACUGUUUCGGCUAGGGGGCCAUCCCGGCUUACCAACCCGAUGCAAACUGCGAAUACCGGAGAAUGUUAUCACGGGAGACACACGGCGGGUGCUAACGUCCGUCGUGAAGAGGGAAACAACCCAGACCGCCAGCUAAGGUCCCAAAGUCAUGGUUAAGUGGGAAACGAUGUGGGAAGGCCCAGACAGCCAGGAUGUUGGCUUAGAAGCAGCCAUCAUUUAAAGAAAGCGUAAUAGCUCACUGGUCGAGUCGGCCUGCGCGGAAGAUGUAACGGGGCUAAACCAUGCACCGAAGCUGCGGCAGCGACACUGUGUGUUGUUGGGUAGGGGAGCGUUCUGUAAGCCUGCGAAGGUGGCCUGUGAGGGUUGCUGGAGGUAUCAGAAGUGCGAAUGCUGACAUAAGUAACGAUAAAGCGGGUGAAAAGCCCGCUCGCCGGAAGACCAAGGGUUCCUGUCCAACGUUAAUCGGGGCAGGGUGAGUCGACCCCUAAGGCGAGGCCGAAAGGCGUAGUCGAUGGGAAACGGGUUAAUAUUCCCGUACUUGGUGUUACUGCGAAGGGGGGACGGAGAAGGCUAUGUUGGCCGGGCGACGGUUGUCCCGGUUUAAGCGUGUAGGUGUGUGUUCCAGGUAAAUCCGGUUCACUUUAACACUGAGGCGUGACGACGAGGCACUACGGUGCUGAAGCAACAAAUGCCCUGCUUCCAGGAAAAGCCUCUAAGCAUCAGGUAACAUCAAAUCGUACCCCAAACCGACACAGGUGGUCAGGUAGAGAAUACCAAGGCGCUUGAGAGAACUCGGGUGAAGGAACUAGGCAAAAUGGUGCCGUAACUUCGGGAGAAGGCACGCUGACACGUAGGUGAAGUGAUUUACUCAUGGAGCUGAAGUCAGUCGAAGAUACCAGCUGGCUGCAACUGUUUAUUAAAAACACAGCACUGUGCAAACACGAAAGUGGACGUAUACGGUGUGACGCCUGCCCGGUGCCGGAAGGUUAAUUGAUGGGGUCAGCGCAAGCGAAGCUCCUGAUCGAAGCCCCGGUAAACGGCGGCCGUAACUAUAACGGUCCUAAGGUAGCGAAAUUCCUUGUCGGGUAAGUUCCGACCUGCACGAAUGGCGUAAUGAUGGCCAGGCUGUCUCCACCCGAGACUCAGUGAAAUUGAACUCGCUGUGAAGAUGCAGUGUACCCGCGGCAAGACGGAAAGACCCCGUGAACCUUUACUAUAGCUUGACACUGAACAUUGAGCCUUGAUGUGUAGGAUAGGUGGGAGGCUUUGAAGUGUGGACGCCAGUCUGCAUGGAGCCGACCUUGAAAUACCACCCUUUAAUGUUUGAUGUUCUAACGUGGACCCGUUACCCGGGUUGCGGACAGUGUCUGGUGGGUAGUUUGACUGGGGCGGUCUCCUCCUAAAGAGUAACGGAGGAGCACGAAGGUUGGCUAAUCCUGGUCGGACAUCAGGAGGUUAGUGCAAUGGCAUAAGCCAGCUUGACUGCGAGCGUGACGGCGCGAGCAGGUGCGAAAGCAGGUCAUAGUGAUCCGGUGGUUCUGAAUGGAAGGGCCAUCGCUCAACGGAUAAAAGGUACUCCGGGGAUAACAGGCUGAUACCGCCCAAGAGUUCAUAUCGACGGCGGUGUUUGGCACCUCGAUGUCGGCUCAUCACAUCCUGGGGCUGAAGUAGGUCCCAAGGGUAUGGCUGUUCGCCAUUUAAAGUGGUACGCGAGCUGGGUUUAGAACGUCGUGAGACAGUUCGGUCCCUAUCUGCCGUGGGCGCUGGAGAACUGAGGGGGGCUGCUCCUAGUACGAGAGGACCGGAGUGGACGCAUCACUGGUGUUCGGGUUGUCAUGCCAAUGGCACUGCCCGGUAGCUAAAUGCGGAAGAGAUAAGUGCUGAAAGCAUCUAAGCACGAAACUUGCCCCGA
rnacentral:rRNA from 4 species